CCCAGGGAUGAAACUGCUGCGUGGGACUGGGCACCAAAGCCAUGCAUGAUCCCUCCAGCUGUUCUUCCCUUCAGCAGCAAGGUUUGCCAGCAUCUCCUGCAUCCUCUGCGAGUUCUCAAAAGAUGCUUUCCCAAGGAAGAUCCCAUCUUUUCCCUAGAGAAAGCCAAAAAACCCACCAUGAGCCACUUUGACAUCUAAGGAAGGCAGGAGCAGCGUGAAGGCAGUCACGCACACAUGUGUCUUUGCCCUGCUGGGUGAAACUGCGGAGCAAGAAGCGGCAACCCUCCUGUGCAAUGCCCAAG